rnacentral:rRNA from 1 species
UAAUGGUAUGGGGAUCUGCCCGAUAGAGGGGGAUAACUACUGGAAACGGUGGCUAUACCGCAUAAUGUCUACGGACCAAAGCAGGGGCUCUUCGGACCUUGCACUAUCGGAUGAACCCAUAUGGGAUUAGCUAGUAGGUGGGGUAAAGGCUCACCUAGGCGACGAUCUCUAGCUGGUCUGAGAGGAUGAUCAGCCACACUGGGACUGAGACACGGCCCAG